AACAUCGGGCUGAGGAUUAUCAUUCCUUGCAUGCCUGGCUCAGAUGGAGAACACUGGAGCUGUAAACUACCUCAUGCUUUUUCCCACAGCCUUAUUCUAAUCUUCUUUCUGGGUCAAUUCCCAGGAGCCUCUCCUCUUUCUCUGGAGUGCUCUGGCAAGUGAGACUCUUGCAAAUAAAGCAAAGGAUCCGCUGAAUGCACAGCCAUGCAUAAUUUAGGAUUGCUGGAGCCUUCUGCGCGUCUCAUCACAAAAUGGCAUUCAGAAGAAAGGUACAUUCAGAGGCUGGUUUUGGCUUGGAAGGCACCACCCGGCAAUGAGAGGCUCCAGCUCUUCCUAUGGGUGUGAUAAUUCACAGUUUUAAUAAGUUUUUUCCUGUCCUGAAGGAAUGUUACAGCAGUCAGUUGACUGCAGCUCCUUCAUGCCUCAAGGAAGAGAAACCCACCCAUCUUCCAGGCUGGUGCGCCCCUCAUGCUUCCGAAACUGCUGCCAGGAGUGACAGCUUGGUCUCACAGCACUUCCCUGCAAUUUCUGGAGAGCCCAGGAUCCUGAAAUGUCCACGUAACAGCAUUAAAACAAGAUGAAUAUAGCUCCAUACCCUGGAUCUGUUUAACCUGAUAAAUAGUUUCAGUUAAUGGACAGCAAAAGGAAUGAUGCUCAGUAAAUUUGAUUUUAUGAGCCUUUCACUUAUUUGCUGUACCCAUUAGGUCGGAAGUUAGGUAAUGGUAAGUGUCCAUUAGUGCAUUAGCUCAGUGAUGAGGGAGCUGAGUUGGAAAAAAAAGAAAAUGGUGGAAAACCCCCUGAAGCCAUGUGCAUUUAUUAAGCCUGUUCGUUAGUGACGGUAAUGGACACUGAGCUGGAGAGACGUCGGAGUUUGGUUCAGGUGGAAAGUACAGCAACCCCUGAAUCCCCUUCUUCUUCCCCACAGCAUCUGGUCCGUGUUCCUCCUGCCAUGGGGAGCCUGGGAGAGCCACAGGGGCUGUAAGGCAGGGAUGGGGCUGCUCGUGUUCUCCUGGGAAAGUCUCUGUGCAGUGCUGGUGGCAACCUGGGACUGCUCCUUCCAAUCAUGAAUACAUGACCCAGCUCGUAACAACCAAAAUAACCAUUUCAUUGAUAACCCUUUCUUUUACUCACUUCGUUUGAAUUUUUUUCUCUGCCCAGGCAAAUUAGUUUUUAAAAUCUCUUUUCUCAAUUUUUUUGCUACCCUGGGAUUAUUUACACACCCCACAAAAAGCUGUUUACUCUUCUGGGUAAUUCAAUGAACAUUCACUUGCUUUGAAUUAAUAUGCAGCGUUGUUCCAAGCGCAGGCAAUUUACUGGUAAUUGGAACAUCUCCUUACCCUGGAAAAAACAUCCAGCCUCCCAAGUUAGUUUUCACAAGUGGCAUUAAUGCAGCAAGAGAGCCAAAUUCCCUUGUUUAUGUGCUAGCAAGGAAAAAUGGGGCUUGUUAGCAAUUAGAAGGUAAAUUUUCUUCCCCUCCCUUCCUGAUGGUGCCUCCCCUGUAGCUGUGAGGGCUGUUCAGGGUGACUGGAGUCUGUGUCCCCCCAUUGCCAGGGCUGGGUGAAUUCCUGCUGUGGUGUUUAAGCAGUUUGCCCGUGAUGUGUUGCAGGUGCUGGAAGGAGUUUGGUGGGUAAAAGGGGUUUGCAGCAGUGUGUGGAGGAGCAGGGUGCAAAGAACCUUUUCAGCAGCAGUUGAUCUCACCUGGAUGCACAUCAGAGGACAAAUGCAGUUCCCUGUGAAGCCAUCACCAAUCGGCACCUAUUGGCAGGUCACCAGUUCAGGUUUUGUGCCACGAAGGAAACAGAUGCUGCUGUAUCCUGACAAUACAUGGCUUACAGAGCCACUGACUCAGCAGGAACCAAAUCCUCAGCUCCCACAGCACCCCUGGCUCCUGGCUGGCCACCCUGGGCACUGCCAGCAAAGCCACCUGAGCAGGCAAGGACGGGAAUGCCCAAUGAUGGGGCCAUUGGCAGGACUUUAUCCUCAUGCCAAGGUCUUUUUCCUCUGCCAGUUCUCAGUGGAGCUUUCCCUGCACACCCCCUUGCCCGCUUGUUGUUAGAGCUUGACACAAGCACGGGCGUCUCAGUUGGUCACUUGGUCCCUGUCUCCUCCCAGAGCAGGUCCUGGCUGUGGGACCACUGCCAGUGGCAGGGCUGGGACCAGCUCACACGCAUUCCUUGCAGGUCUGAGGUCCCUUGGCAGAGCUCUGCAAGCAGCUGCUUCCCUCUCUCUCUGCAUUAAGAUUAAUGUUUGAACAGCACUUGUCCCAUCCAUCUCUCUGGGAGCUUUCCUCCAAACAAAUAGCAGGAGGAGGCGGCAUCUAUUUGAGAAUGACAGGGCUUCAAUCUAUUUAUUCCACAGGUAACCGCUCUCUCCUGAAAUGUCAGAUUGACUCUUCAUCUUCCAUGGGCUGCGGUGCGAGUGCACCGUGGCGGGUACGGGCCCGCCUCCCUUCAUUUGCAAGGAAAAAGAGUCACUGAGAUUGAUUGCACAAUUGAAUAUGCAGCAUGGUAAACAGUUAUUUGGAAAUUAUUGUUUGUGUUUAAUUAUGACAUACAGAAGUUUAACAGUCAUAAAUUUUUCAUUGGAGUUGGAAUGCAAAUGAAAGCAUUAACAUGCAUCAACGAAAGACACAAAUCAGCAUUUCCCACAGCGAAUCACAGGAUCUGGGGCUGGCAGCCCCACGCUGUUCAUGAGCAUCCCCCUCCUCAGCAUCAUGAGCCAGAGCUUUCAGUGAGCUGAGAGUGGCUUAGAAACCAGGAAUUAGUUGUUUCUGCUUGGUUUGUUCUCUGUAUAAAGUCCUUAAGGCAGAGCAGUGGCUAUAACAGGCAGCGAGGGCUUAACUCCCCCUUAGACUUUUGGGGUGCAGCCAGGGUGGAGAAGGGACUGUGGGUGUAACCUCCAUCCUGGCAAAAUAGGAAAACUUUCUGGUUUCAUGAAAGUGCCUUGUCAGCACUUUUGCUGGUCUUUCCAACAAUUGUCAGAUGAAUUUUCCCCAUCUUUUCUCUCUUUUUAUUCUUUUCUUAUCUCUUUCUUCUCCUUCCCACAGCACAUGCACAUGGACACAUGCUGUGGCUCUUGGCAAUUGAAGAAAAUGAAAAAUAGAUGUGUAGAGGGAAAAAAGUUUAAUAGCAAGAAAAGAUGUGCUAGAAAAGAGGGCGGUAAUAAAAGAAUCUAAUUAAAAUGGAAAAUUUCCAUGGGAAAAGGAAAAGGUGUUGGGGGAGGCAGAGGUAGAACAUUGUUUCCAUCCAGCCUACUCAUCUGGGGGAAGAAGCAGCAUUUCCCAGCUGAUUAAAAACUGGUAUGAUAAUGAAAGAUGAGUAUUUUUCUGUCUUUGUAUUUCUGAAGCAAAUCUCUCAUGGGACAAAACAUAUCACUCAGUGAGUUGCAUAAUGUUU